rnacentral:rRNA from 1 species
AUUGAACGCUAGCGGCAGGCCUAACACAUGCAAGUCGAACGAGUGGCGGACGGGAUAGAUAUGUCUGGGAAAAUGCCCGAUGGAGGGGUAUAACUACGGGAAACGGUAGCUAAUCCCGCAUUCCAUCGGAUAUGCCCAUAUGGGAUUAGCUAGUAGGUGGGGUAAAGGCUCACCUAGGCGACGAUCCCUAGCUGGUCUGAGAGGAUGACCAGCCACACUGGAACUGAGACACGGUCCAGACUCCUACGGGAGGCAGCAGUGGGGAAUAUUGCACAAUGGGCGCAAUCCUGAUGCAGCCAUGCCGCUUGUAUGAAGAAGGCCUUCGGGUUGUAAAGUACUUUCAGCAGGGAUGCGUUACCCGCAGAAGAAGCACCGGCUAACUCCGUGCCAGCAGCCGCGGUAAUUC